rnacentral:lncRNA from 1 species
UGCAUAGCCUUCUGCUCUUCGCCUCUUCCCUUCCAAGCUAAACAUCUUCAACUGACUUUAUCUUUCAGAUGAAAACCUUGGCAGAAGGAGAUUUAUUUGGUACCGUGAGCUUCUCUUGUAAAUAGCUCCCCGGGUGCCGUGUCUACAACCCACCUGUCAGCCCUUGGAGUGGAGGAGGCUGUGUGUUAUUGAUCCCGACCUGUGGCUGCACCCAGCAUGGUACUAGUAUCUAGCAGGUCAUAGAUGGCUGUCACUGUGGAGAAGUCAAUGCCGCAGGAACUUGAAGCAGCCUCUCACAUCUGCAGUCAAGAGCUGGAAGUGGGAGGUGAGAUGUCUCAGUGGGCAGAGGAGCUUGCGGCCAAGAUUGAUGACCUGAGUUCACGCCCAUGGUGAAAAGAGAGAACUGACUCUUGAAAGUUGUCCUCUGGCUUCUAUAGGCCUCCACUCCUUCCAAAAUAUAUGGAAUAAAAAUAUAGAAUCUAGGGGUGGGGUGCUGAACAGAUGGCUCAGU